rnacentral:rRNA from 1 species
GAUGAACGCUGGCGGCGUGCUUAACACAUGCAAGUCGAACGAUGAAGCCCAGCUUGCUGGGUGGUUUAGUGGCGAACGGGUGAGUAACACGUGAGUAACCUGCCCUUAACUCUGGGAUAAGCCUGGGAAACUGGGUCUAAUACCGGAUAGGAGCGUCCACCGCAUGGUGGGUGUUGGAAAGAUUUAUCGGUUUUGGAUGGACUCGCGGCCUAUCAGCUUGUUGGUGAGGUAAUGGCUCACCAAGGCGACGACGGGUAGCCGGCCUGAGAGGGUGACAGGCCACAGUGGGACUGAGACACGGCCCAGAGUCAUACGGGAGGAAGCAGUGGGGAAUAUUGCACACUGGGCGCAGGCCUGAUGCAGCGACGCCGCGUGAGGGAUGACGGCCUUCGGGUUGUAAACCUCUUUCAGUAGGGAAGAAGCGAAAGGGACGGUACCUGCAGAAGAAGCACCGGCUACCUACGU